AACUCGGUGGCCAAGUGGUACGGCGUCCGCCUCCUAUAUUGUUUAGCGGAAGAGCGCGGGUUCGAUCCCCGUCCGAGUUA